rnacentral:rRNA from 1 species
AGGACGAACGCUGGCGGCGUGCUUAACACAUGCAAGUCGAACGGAAAGGCCCGCUUGCGGGUACUCGAGUGGCGAACGGGUGAGUAACACGUGGGCAACCUGCCCUCAGCUUCGGGAUAACACUUGGAAACAGGUGCUAAUACCGGAUAAUAACCUUUCAUCGCAUGGUGUGGGGUUCAAAGUUUUUCGGCUGGGGAUGGGCCCGCGGCCUAUCAGCUUGUUGGUGGGGUAAUGGCCUACCAAGGCGACGACGGGUAGCCGGCCUGAGAGGGCGACCGGCCACACUGGGACUGAGACACGGCCCAGACUCCUACGGGAGGCAGCAGUGGGGAAUAUUGCGCAAUGGGCGGAAGCCUGACGCAGCGACGCCGCGUGAGGGAUGACGGCCUUCGGGUUGUAAACCUCUUUCAGCUCUGACGAAGCGCAAGUGACGGUAGGAGCAGAAGAAGCACCGGCCAACUACGCGCCAGCAGCCGC